UACGUAGGCAGCAAGCGUUGUUCGGAAUUACUGGGCGUAAAGGGUGUGUAGGUGGCGCGCUAAGUCGGGUGUGAAAUUUCGGAGCUUAACUCCGAAACUGCAUUCGAUACUGGCGUGCUUGAGGACUGGAGAGGAGACUGGAAUUCAUGGUGUAGCAGUGAAAUGCGUAGAGAUCAUGAGGAAGACCAGUGGCGAAGGCGGGUCUCUGGACAGUUCCUGACACUGAGACACGAAGGCCAGGGGAGCAAACGGG
rnacentral:rRNA from 1 species